AAUAGAUAAUCCUUCAUAUCAGCCACCAAGAGCAGCAGGUUAGGAGUUGUCAAGCCAAUAAUUUAAUGCCAAUUCUCUGGCACGUCAAUAUUUGCUAAGAAAUAUCCCUUCAUUGUGCUGUGUGUUACCCCUGGGAAUGUGAAUCUGUCUGGAGUCUGGCAGAAAUUCAAGUGUCUUUGAAAAGACAGUCAGGAACUCUGUUACGGAUAUCUUGUUUUGACAAUUCCCUCUU
rnacentral:lncRNA from 1 species